rnacentral:rRNA from 1 species
UACGGAGGAUCCAAGCGUUAUCCGGAUUUAUUGGGUUUAAAGGGUGCGUAGGCGGCUUUUUAAGUCAGGGGUGAAAGACGGUGGCUCAACCAUCGCAGUGCCUUUGAUACUGAAGAGCUUGAAUGAACCUGAGGUAGGCGGAAUGUGACAAGUAGCGGUGAAAUGCAUAGAUAUGUCACAGAACACCAAUUGCGAAGGCAGCUUACUAAAGUUUAAUUGACGCUGAGGCACGAAAGCGUGGGGAUCAAACAGG